CACUGAGGUGUAGAGGUAGCCUCUCCUAGGCUUUGUCUGUGAAUUUGGCCGAGACAUAGCCUGAUUGAGGCUAACUUUAGCCUUAGCAC
rnacentral:pre_miRNA from 15 species